GACAGAGGGUGCAAACGUUGUUCGGAAUUACUGGGCGUAAAGCGAGUGUAGGCGGUUCGAUAAGUCGGAUGUGAAAGCCCCGGGCUCAACCCGGGAAGUGCACUCGAUACUGUCGAGCUAGAGUAUCGGAGAGGUUGGUGGAAUUCUCGGUGUAGAGGUGAAAUUCGUAGAUAUCGGGAGGAACACCGGUGGCGAAGGCGGCGACCUGGGUCGAUACUGACGCUGAGGCGCGAAAGCGUGGGGAGCAAACAGG
rnacentral:rRNA from 1 species